rnacentral:rRNA from 1 species
CAAUAGCGUAUAUUAAAGUUGUUGCAGUUAAAAAGCUCGUAGUUGGAUUUCUGGUCGGAAGCUCCUGUCCUCUGAUGAGCGUACAAGUGCGUCCUACCAUCCUUCUGUUAACCUUUAAGGCUUUCGCGGCUUUCUAGGGGCUCAGAUAUUUUACCUUGAGAAAAUUAGAGUGUUUCAGGCAGGCUAGCGCCGGAAUACAUUAGCAUGGAAUAAUGGAAUAGGACUUUUGCCUCUUCUGUUGGUCAUGAGGCUCGAGUAAUGAUUAAUAGGGAUAGUUGGGGGCAUUAGUACUUAACUGUCAGAGGUGAAAUUCUCGGAUCUGUUAAAGACUAACUUAUGCGAAAGCAUUUGCCAAGGAUGUUUUCAUUAA